UAUACUGUGAACUGCGAAUGGCUCAUUAAAUCAGUUAUCGUUUAUUUGAUAGUACCUUACUACUUGGAUAACCGUGGUAAUUCUAGAGCUAAUACAUGCUAAAAACCCCGACUUCGGAAGGGGUGUAUUUAUUAGAUAAAAAACCAAUGCCCUUCGGGGCUCCUUGGUGAUUCAUGAUAACUUAACGAAUCGCAUGGCCUUGCGCCGGCGAUGGUUCAUUCAAAUUUCUGCCCUAUCAACUUUCGAUGGUAGGAUAGUGGCCUACCAUGGUAGCAACGGGUAACGGGGAAUUAGGGUUCUAUUCCGGAGAGGGAGCCUGAGAAACGGCUACCACAUCCAAGGAAGGCAGCAGGCGCGCAAAUUACCCAAUCCCGACACGGGGAGGUAGUGACAAUAAAUACUGAUACAGGGCUCUUUCGAGUCUUGUAAUUGGAAUGAGUACAAUUUAAAUACCUUAACGAGGAACAAUUGGAGGGCAAGUCUGGUGCCAGCAGCCGCGGUAAUUCCAGCUCCAAUAGCGUAUAUUAAAGUUGUUGCAGUUAAAAAGCUCGUAGUUGAACCUUGGGCCUGGCUGGCCGGUCCGCCUCACCGCGUGUACUGGUCCGGCCGGGCCUUUCCUUCUGGGGAUCCGCAUGCCCUUCACUGGGUGUGUCGGGGAACCAGGACUUUUACUUUGAAAAAAUUAGAGUGUUCAAAGCAGGCCUUUGCUCGAAUACAUUAGCAUGGAAUAAUAGAAUAGGACGUGCGGUCCUAUUUUGUUGGUUUCUAGGACCGCCGUAAUGAUUAAUAGGGAUAGUCGGGGGCAUCAGUAUUCAAUUGUCAGAGGUGAAAUUCUUGGAUUUAUUGAAGACUAACUACUGCGAAAGCAUUUGCCAAGGAUGUUUUCAUUAAUCAGUGAACGAAAGUUAGGGGAUCGAAGACGAUCAGAUACCGUCGUAGUCUUAACCGUAAACUAUGCCGACUAGGGAUCGGGCGAUGUUAUUAUUUUGACUCGCUCGGCACCUUACGAGAAAUCAAAGUC
rnacentral:rRNA from 1 species